rnacentral:rRNA from 1 species
UACGAAGGGGCUAGCGUUGCUCGGAAUUACUGGGCGUAAAGGGCGCGUAGGCGGCCUGUUAAGUCGAACGUGAAAUCCCCGGGCUCAACCCGGGAACUGCGUCCGAUACUGGCAGGCUUGAAUCCGGGAGAGGGAUGCGGAAUUCCAGGUGUAGCGGUGAAAUGCGUAGAUAUCUGGAGGAACACCGGUGGCGAAGGCGGCAUCCUGGACCGGUAUUGACGCUG